rnacentral:rRNA from 1 species
AUGGAAUUUGGGGUGACACUCUGGAUAAAGGAGCUUUGUGAUUUCCAGACAGAUAACACAAACAGAUUGUGGAGCGGCUUGGCAGGAGGGGACUGCCGACCUACGACAACUGCAUUCUGCUCAUUACACUGUGAAACCACCGAUCACCUUUUGACCGGUUGUGGAGGAAUUGCUGCCUGGAGAGGUCUACAAGCCUGCACUCCAACGCUAGGGUGUGAAUUCGGUCCUUGGUGGAUUGAGAAACAUGAGGGGAUUCAACGCCUUUGUCCUGUUGAUAGCCUGGACAAUUUGGAUUUUUUUUUUGAUAUGGUUUCCAGUGAAAAAGCCUAG